UUACACUAGAAUCAAGUGGCAAGGCUUCAUGGCCAUUCUAGAGCCCUCAACAAUUUUUUUAAAUGCUAACAUGUAAGAAAAAUUACAAAAAAAACUUCAUUGUAAUUACAAAAAUAAAUUAAAUCUAUCGACUUAAAUUCUCUAAAUUCCAAUUGUGUGGGUUGUGAGUUUCAAUUAGAAAUAUAAAAAUCAAAUUAAAUGAUCUAAUAAGUCCGACAAUUUAAUCAAAAAUAAUUAAAUUGUUUGAUAUUUUUUUGUACGAGUUUGAGUCUAAAUUGAACUAAAUCAAAUAAAAUUAAUAUUUAUUUAUUUGAGUAUACUUUCAUGUAAUUUAAAAUAGACUACCUAAUAUUCAAACCAAACAAUUAUUUUUUACCAUAUUAUAUAUUUUUAAUAAUUAUAUGUUGUUUUUGUUAUUGUAGUUAAUAAAUUUAUUUUAAUAGUAUUAAAAAUUUAGUGUUUGAAAAAAACUUAAAUUUUUUAAAAUUAAUUUUUAAUUAUUAAAAAUGACCAUCCAAAUUCAAUCCACUAUCUUUCUAAUAAGCAUUUUAAGUUUGAUUGAUUUUUUUUUUAAAAAAAAUUACAACUUAAAAUUCUUACAUUGAAGAGAACCAAAUACUUCAGAACUCCAAGAAAAUAUUAUAUUUCUAAUACUUGCCUCCAACAAAAUAUUAUAUCUCAUACAUUUAGAAAACGGAACUAUAAAUUAAAUGUAAGAGCCAAUUUUAAUAGUAUAAUUUAAUUAAGAAAAAAUAAAUUUUAAAAUGCAUAGCAUAUACAAAAUAUUUAAGAUAUAUUUAAAGUUAACAUUAUCAAUCAAAUAUAAAAGACUUAACUUUUAAACUUAGACUAAGACUAACAUUUGUAUAUACAAAAUAAUUAAGGUAUAGUUAAAGUUAAUAUUAUCAAACAAGUAUAAAAGAAUUAACUUUUAAACUUGAACUAAGACUAACAUUUGUACCAAAAAAACUAAGGUAGAACUAAGUCAAAUAUCUAAAAAAAAAAGAAGCAUGAGGCACUCUUGUUAAAGCUAAACAUUAAAAAUAGGUUUUGCAUAGUUGGAAUCAUAAUUGAGCCUGUUCCUAUGUCGUGUAGUAUCUUAACAUGGAAAGCAAGAAACAAAUUUAAACCAAGAAUGAAUUUAAAAAGAAGAACCUUCGAUUUGAUCAUUGUCAGUGAACUUAUGGUGAAGAGUUUGAUCAAUGAUAUCAGCAACAUAAUCAUGUGAAUUGGUAAUGCUUUAGAUUUAUAAUAAAUAUUUCUUUUAUAUUUUAUUUGAUUAAAAGGUAUUUAAGACUACAUAUAUUAAGUAAAAAAAACACAUUAUAAAACAUCAUAUAAAAUUUUAAAAAAAAUAUAGAGAUUAAAAAUUAUCAUAACAUAUUAGUAUUAAAAAACUUUAUAAAGAUUUGAGUACCAUGAGGUUGUGUCGGUCCCCUUCAGCUCUACCCCUUCUUAGAUUCAUUUUGAUUCAUAAUUGAACUAAUCUAAAAGAUACUAAAAUCAUUUUUCGUUUUCUGAAAGGAAGGUUGGUUUGAGGGUAAGACAAUUAAACCCUAGUUUUAGAU
rnacentral:lncRNA from 1 species